ACAUAAGACGUGUUUAAUUAAUGUGCGGGAAAGAGGUUUAAAGGUGUCGGCCCACAACGAAAGGCUUGCGGGUUGCAGUACCCCUUUAAGUAGUUCUUGAAAAAAAUGAUUCUCUGAGGUAGCAUUUGAUUAUGUGUACAUUGUAUUCUUGUAUGUAUUUUCAAGUUAACACAUGAUUUAUAUAAGGUUUGUAUAAUUUUAGUUUUAUUUAAGUUUUAAAAUUUUGAUAUUUUUUUUAAGAUUUGCCUGCCCCUGUCUGAACACUUAAAUUCUUGGUCUUUGGUCUAUUGUCUGCAACUUCAAAACACACUUUUUGGAACAGGACACAUUUUCCUGAUAUUUUAUCCAGUUUGACUGCAAUAUAAGUUGUAUUUAUCAAUAAUUUAAGUAAAAAAUGACAUUUAUAUUUCCAUAAUUACCUGGUAGUUAUUUGUUAAUUUGUUUUAAUUCAUGGAUAGGUUUAUUGCGAGUGUCAUGGAAAGCUGGAACUUUUCAGUACACAACAUGCAAACUGAGAAUGAACUGUGUGUGCCGGCUUUGUGAACAAAAACGCAAGGCGGCUAUGAUACACUGUGUUGUGUGUGGAUAAGAAAUGCAGAGUGGUACCACCAAUUACCUAAGCCACCAUUCCCCUAACAGACAAAAGGCUCAUGGGGACAGUUCCUGCAGUUUACAGCAAAUUGUAGCCCUACAAACUUCAGAUACUGCCAAGCUUGGGUGCACUGGGCCGGUUAUCCAGCCGUGUGGAAUCAACAUCUCCAGCUGAACUUGGGCCGGGAAUUAUAUAAGAAUCCUUAGCAGCAUGAGUGCCAGCCAGUCAUUGCUGUUCUUUGCAUUGCUGAGGAGGACAGUCCUGCCAACAUAACAGUUUGUUCAAUAACAGGAGACAAACAGAAACACAGAGGUGCUAUACAUUCCGAUGGAAAAUACAACAAAAGCAUCUCCCAUCAUUUUGGCGUGGCUCAGAUCAAGAGGAGAAUUUUAAGAAAGGUGAUGGUUGGGCACACACAAGAAGACAUAGAUCACAUGUGUCCAGGCAUAUGAGUAGACAGGAGUUUCACACUCUGCCAAACUUACUUCAUCAGAGGAGCAGAAAGCUUCUCAAGAUCCCGCACUGCACACUUAGAUAUAGUCUUUGACUACAACAAGGGGAUGAAAGUACAGAGAGGUCCAAUUGAAAUCAAUUCUGUGCUGCGUCAUUUCUUCAUUCUGGAAGUCGAUGGACAUGAUUUAUCAUGGCAUCAGGUGUGCAGUUUGUCGACUAUCAGCAGUCUUGUUCACCAGUUGUGCAACUUGAGCUGGUAGCUUUAUUGCUUGAAGCCACAGCAUAAGAGGGGGAAGGUGCAGGCUCAUCAAAAAGUCUCAAAAGUUGAAACUAGGAAAAGAAGUUUGUCAAGAGUGUGAAUAUUUGCUUUGAAAACCAUCGUUACGAUGAUUUGGUUUCCUUUGAAACUUGAUACAUACUAUGUGUAUGUUGAAUGAAUUGAGAUGCUUAAAUAAAGAACCGCUAUUCAAAUAUCAGGAAACUGCAUUUUUCAUACUAAAGGGUAAAUGAUGUCGCCAUUUCCUGUAUGUAUUUAAAUGAGAUAUGUUUCCACAAUUAAUAUUUUUAGGGAAUUUUUCUCAUCCUAAUGAAUGAGAUUAAAUUGUACAGCGUUAUAUGAGCUUAAUAUGUGUUUUCUGUUUCUUUAAAAUUGGUGAAAAAUUGUCAGAAGAUAAUUAGACCAUUAUCCAUUACUGCAAUCAUACAAUCAAAUAUACAGGGACAAACCCACUGGGCAUAUAAUAUAAUUAAACCCUGUUCAGGGGCAUGAGGCAAACAGAGUUACUUUCAAACGUUAAAGCUGCACUCUCACAUUUUGGACGUUUUGACAACUUUUCUCAUUUUAUGUCUUGGAUUGGAACCAUCCAAUUUUUGCGAAAAAUUAAAUGGCAGAUUUUUCUAUU